GACGAACGCUGGCGGCGUGCUUAACACAUGCAAGUCGAACGGAAAGGCCCUGCUUUUGUGGGGUGCUCGAGUGGCGAACGGGUGAGUAACACGUGAGUAACCUGCCCUUGACUUUGGGAUAACUUCAGGAAACUGGGGCUAAUACCGGAUAGGAGCUCCUGCUGCAUGGUGGGGGUUGGAAAGUUUCGGCGGUUGGGGAUGGACUCGCGGCUUAUUAGCUUGUUGGUGGGGUAGUGGCUUACCAAGGUUUUGACGGGUAGCCGGCCUGGGAGGGUGACCGGCAACAUGGGGCUUGGGAGAGGGCCAGGACGCCAACGGGAGGAAGGGGGGGGAAAUAUUGCCAAAUGGGGGAAGCCUGAUGCAGCAACGCCGCGUGCGGGAUGACGGCCUUCGGGUUGUAAACAGCUUUCGCCUGUGACGAAGCGUGAGUGACGGUAAUGGGUAAAGAAGCACCGGCUAACUACGUG
rnacentral:rRNA from 1 species